rnacentral:rRNA from 1 species
GACGAACGCUGGCGGCGUGCUUAACACAUGCAAGUCGAACGGAAAGGCCCUGCUUUUGUGGGGUGCUCGAGUGGCGAACGGGUGAGUAACACGUGAGUAACCUGCCCUUGACUUUGGGAUAACUUCAGGAAACUGGGGCUAAUACCGGAUAGGAGCUCCUGCUGCAUGGUGGGGGUUGGAAAGUUUCGGCGGUUGGGGAUGGACUCGCGGCUUAUCAGCUUGUUGGUGGGGUAGUGGCUUACCAAGGCUUUGACGGGUAGCCGGCCUGAGAGGGUGACCGGCCACAUUGGGACUGAGAGACGGCCCAGACUCCUAAGGGAGGCAGCAGUGGGGAAUAUUGCACGAUGGGCGGAAGCCUGAUGCAGCAACGCCGCGUGCGGGAUGACGGCCUUCGGGUUGUAAACCGCUUUCGCCUGUGACGAAGCGUGAGUGACGGUAAUGGGUAAAGAAGCACCGGCUAACUACGUG